rnacentral:rRNA from 1 species
AUUGAACGCUGGCGGCAUGCUUUAUACAUGCAAGUCGAACGGUAACAGGCCGCAAGGUGCUGACGAGUGGCGAACGGGUGAGUAAUGCAUCGGAACGUGCCCAGUCGUGGGGGAUAACUACUCGAAAGAGUAGCUAAUACCGCAUACGACCUAUGGAUGAAAGCGGGGGACCGUAAGGCCUCGCGCGAUUGGAGCGGCCGAUGUCAGAUUAGGUAGUUGGUGGGGUAAAGGCUCACCAAGCCAACGAUCUGUAGCUGGUCUGAGAGGACGACCAGCCACACUGGGACUGAGACACGGCCCAGACUCCUACGGGAGGCAGCAGUGGGGAAUUUUGGGCAAUGGGCGCAAGCCUGAUCCAGCAAUGCCGCGUGCAGGAAGAAGGCCUUCGGGUUGUAAACUGCUUUUGUACGGAACGAAACGGCUCUGGUUAAUACCCGGGGCUAAUGACGGUACCGUAAGAAUAAGCACCGGCUAACUACGUG